rnacentral:rRNA from 1 species
UCGAGAAUCUUCGGCAAUGGGCGCAAGCCUGACCGAGCGAUGCCGCGUGCGGGAUGAAGGCCCUCGGGUUGUAAACCGCUGUCAGUGUGGAGACCAAGACGCAGAGGAAGGACGGGCUAAGUACGUGCCAGCAGCCGCGGUAAUACGUACCGUCCGAACGUUAUUCGGAAUUAUUGGGCUUAAAGGGUGCGUAGGCGGCCUUGUAAGUCGGGUGUGAAAUCCCACGGCUCAACCGUGGAACUGCGCCGAUACUGCAUGGCUUGAGGGAGACAGAGGUAAGCGGAACUGAUGGUGGAGCGGUGAAAUGCGUUGAUAUCAUCAGGAACACCGGUGGCGAAAGCGGCUUACUGGGUCUCUUCUGACGCUGAGGCACGAAAGCUAGGGUAGCGAACGGGAUUAGAUACCCCGGUAGU